CAGGGAGACAACAAAAUGUUUAAUAUUAUUAUUUUGUCACCUUAGGUCGAUCGGUAUCUCACAUUCUUAAUUUAUUAAGGAUUUUAUUUCCUAAGUUUUUUCUAGGUCACACCCAUUACUUUUCCUGGGCCAUUAGCUCAGGUGGUUAGAGCGCACCCCUGAUAAGGGUGAGGUCCCUGGUUCAAGUCCAGGAUGGCCCAUAUCUCUAUGUUGGGGGUAUAGCUCAGUUGGUAGAGCGCCUGCUUUGCAAGCAGGAUGUCAGCGGUUCGAGUCCGCUUACCUCCACUGAUUACCACCUCUUCCAUAAUUAUUAAGGAAAUGUUUUGAGUAGUGAUCGAAUUCUGAACGAAUCUAGCUUCCUAAUGAAUUCAUUAAGAUGCUGGACUCAUUGAAUUAUUUUCAUUGUUUUCAGAGAACCUUGACAACUGCAUAGAUUAUUUUUAAAGACAAUAAGCAUCUUUAUGAUGCAGAUUUAUUAUUUGUGCGAAUGCAUUAAUAACAAUUCUAUUAAGCUGAUGCUUCAAUUAUGAAGUUAUU
rnacentral:tRNA from 1 species